GACGAACGCUGGCGGCGUGCUUAACACAUGCAAGUCGAACGGAAAGGCCCUGCUUUUGUGGGGUGCUCGAGUGGCGAACGGGUGAGUAACACGUGAGUAACCUGCCCUUGACUUUGGGAUAACUUCAGGAAACUGGGGCUAAUACCGGAUAGGAGCUCCUGCUGCAUGGUGGGGGUUGGAAAGUUUCGGCGGUUGGGGAUGGACUCGCGGCUUAUCAGCUUGUUGGUAGGGUAGUGGCUUACCAAGGCUUUGACGGGUAGCCGGCCUGAGAGGGUGACCGGCCACAUUAGGACUGAGAUACGGACCAGACUCCUACGGGAGGCAGCAGUGGGGAAUAUUGCACAAUGGGCGGAAGCCUGAUGCAGCAACGCCGCGUGCGGGAUGACGGCCUUCGGGUUGUAAACCGCUUUCGCCUGUGACGAAGCGUGAGUGACGGUAAUGGGUAAAGAAGCACCGGCUAACUACGUG
rnacentral:rRNA from 1 species